GUUGUCACUAAAAGUAUAUCGAUUAGUGAUCGCAUUUUAGCGGUUUAGUUGUUAGACUACCGGUAUUGUAUUAGGUUUGAUCCUUCUUCGUUUUGGCUUUUGUGUCCAUGUCCAUAGACUUGAGCAUUGCGCUUUUGCUUAUAUUUUGGAUUCACAGUAGAGUUUCGUUUCUCUCGGGUAGCCGAAAAAAAAUUCGUAUACCAUAGCAUCCAAGCAAGCCUAGUCGUGGCGUCGCUCUGAUUCCAUCUAAGAAAAAAUCAAAAUGACAGUACUGUUAGAAAAGAUUUUAGUAUAGAACGACAGCACUGGAAUCUCCGCUGACUUUUUCAAUAAAGUAAUAUAUCAUACUUUGACUAUCAUUCGCAAAGCGGCAAAAUUGACCCAAGGUAUAUGGGAUUAUAGCCUGCCUACCUGCAUGGAUAUGACACAAUUACGGGCAAACUUGUUGCUUAGGACGAUAAUCCAGUAUUGUGGCGUUCAUCUGCGAAUUUAAAAAAAGACAUCAAGUAUUUCAAUUUUAGUUGAUAAUUUUGAAAUCAGCAGUAGGCUACAUAGCUUAUUUCAGCAGACUGACCAGAAUGUUAUCUCUGGUUGAAGUAACUUGACUGAAAAUUUUCAAAUUUGACUCUAAGAUGAGUUUUAUAAUAUAUAUGGAAUGGACCAUAAAAAGUUCUGUUAUCGGUCACCAGGCGUUCCUGCAAUUCCACCUAAGGCCCUGAACGAUAUAUCUUGUAACUUAAAACAGUGGCCCAAGUUCGGCGACUGAUUGCCGCGCUAGCAUUUCAUUUGUGCUUUCAACUACUAUUAGUUACCAAAGUGUCUCUAUGCUUGAGAAGUCAAAACAACUUGUUGCGAGCGUAAAAAACAACGUGGUUCUGAUUAAUUCACGAUAUUGCGGUUUUAAUGUCCCAAAGCAUUAUAAAGUUUAGGGUCAUUAUGAUUCUUACCAAGCAAAAAUGCGGCGAAUACCGAAUAGCCCAAGGCUAUUUUAACAUUCUUUCUGUAUUAUUAUUGGGAAAUAUAGGCGCAUUUAAGCAAUUCGGGGUGAGAUAUUUACCUGAAUAUGAUACACGGAUGACGUAAAGUAAAAAUUAUUGUACAGAAACUAAUCUGUAUAAAAUGUUGCGAAAUCGCAAUAUUUCAAUUGUAGUAGGAGCAAAUUUAAACGAGGCAAAUCGACUUUAUUACAUGCUGAUUAUUCCCGUUUGCUUGUUUUGUACAGUGAAAGUAAGUUCGAUAACAUCGUUAUAGUUUUUUCGUUAGCGGACUCCUGGCCUUUUUACCACUGUGUAACUACGUUUCAGUUACGUUUUCGUCCAGUAGCCUAAUAUGAGGUGUCGACUCGAAAAAUAAAAGAAUAGGUUUUCUUCCAUAAUUUGUUCAUUAGAGAUGCUCUAUUGUUUGUUCAUUGCAACAAAUACGCUUUUAAUUUCGAACUCCUCCAAAAAAUCUUAUUUUUCAAAACCAAAGCCAGAGCACGGCAAGAAGUCUUUCUAUACUUUCAUCUUUUUGACUUACAUACCGAAUAACUGGCUAUGCCUGCUAUAAACCUGGUAUAUGAGACAUGUAUGAAAGUUAAGGGUAUUGGACUUAUGGUAAUAUAUAUAUAAUGUUGCAAAACGCAAUCUUCAAAAUAUAACAGCAGCCAACGUAAAUAAUGAUGAAUCGGGAAAAUAAGUUAUUUACGUAAUUUAUUCCUGAGUUAUUUGUUGAGUCAACGUAAAUUGGAUCCCACUGUGAGACAAAAACCAGAAGAUGUUUACAAUUUUAUUGUUGUUGGAUCUGGACCUGGCGGGGCAACUGUAGCAAGUCGAUUAUCAGAGAUGCAAAAUAUGAAGUAAUUCGGUUAUAUGUCAUUAGGUAUCUUCAAUUUGCACUUAAGACUUAUUUUGAAGAAAAAUAUUUCUAAGAAAGAAAACUGGAAGCAGGAGAAAGCGACUGGAAUGACACACAAAUAAAACUACCGUCACAAGUAUACGGUCUUCAUUAAACAAAUGUCGACUGGCAAUAUAAAAGUGAGACCAUGACACGCAAAUCAUUUACUGAUCGUGUUUUAUCGCUAACACGACGAAAAACUCUAGGAGGAAGCAGCUCAAUAAAUUACAGCGCAUAUGUCAGAGGCUCUCCACAUGAUUAUGAUUCCUGGGAAGACUCGGGAGCGGAAGGAUGGGGAUUGAAAAAUGUUGGACAUUAUUUUCGUAAAGUAAAAAAUGAAACUACAAAUGACAUGUCUGCCAAACAUGAAAAAAUGGAAAUCUGAAAUUAACCAAAGGUUUCAAUAAACCUUCAAAGAAAUGGACCUUCUUUUCCGACGAAGCUAAUAAAAUCGGUUUCAAAACAACAGAUUAUACUGAAUAGAUGGAGGGAUCAGUCCGAUGCUAUUAUCAAUAUAUCAACGGAUACGACAGAAUUCUGUGAUUGCAUAUAUUAGGCCAAUACAUAAAGAAAGAAAGGAUAGACUCCAUGUUCUCACAGGAGCACUGGUUACAAAAUUCUAAUAAACAAUGAAUAGUUUGGACCCAAAGCGUACGGAAUCGAGUAUUUGAAAAACGGAAUAUAUCACACUGUGCAAGCACGCAAAGAAGUCAUAAUUUUAGCUGGUGCAAUGGGGACGCCGCCAAUUCGUCUUUUAUCCGGAAUAGGGCCGAAGAAAGAUUUGCAAAAGUUAGGGAUACCAGUAAGAAAAGACUUGCCUGGAGUUGGAUCGAAACUGAAAGACCAUUGGCUGAACACAUUUAACUUUAUGUCAAAUCUAACCAAUCCACUGCAAUUAGUAUACUAUAAAACAUUACCAAUAUUAAUUUUAGAUUUUCUUGUUCAAAUAAGGACAUAAUAUUAUGGAAAUGAAUAGUUGAAAAAGAAUAUUUGUCUCUUUAUUUUGCAAUAAUCACACGCUGUCGGUCUUUCAAGCUUAAAGACAAACGAAAGCCUAAUAAGUGUACAAGGCAAUAAAAUCAGUUUAAUGAAACAAUAAAUCCUCAACCUUAAUUUACAAGGAAAAAAGUCCUUUGUUGGAAUAUGUACUCAGUGGAGAAGGACCUAUGAGUACGUUCCCGUACUUGAGUCUUUUUACAAGAACAUCAUUGAGUGGUACACCUGCAAGUUUGAGUUUGAGAUGAAUUAUACCAAAGUAUUGGCUACAUUGAAUCUGAGAAAACGUAUUUCUAUUUCAAUCCAAAACCGAUUGAAUUUCCAAAUACGUCUCGUAUUUAUUAUUUUUAUUUAACAAAAUCAAAUCACGGAAUUUCAAUGUUGUAUCUAUAAACUUCAAGACGAUGCCAAUAU